rnacentral:rRNA from 1 species
AUUGAACGCUGGCGGCAUGCCUUACACAUGCAAGUCGAACGGUAACGGGCCUUCGGGUGCCGACGAGUGGCGAACGGGUGAGUAAUGUAUCGGAACGUACCUUUCAGUGGGGGAUAACGUAGCGAAAGUUACGCUAAUACCGCAUAUUCUGUGAGCAGGAAAGCAGGGGAUCGCAAGACCUUGCGCUGAUUGAGCGGCCGAUAUCAGAUUAGCUAGUUGGUGAGGUAAAGGCUCACCAAGGCGACGAUCUGUAGCGGGUCUGAGAGGAUGAUCCGCCACACUGGAACUGAGACACGGUCCAGACUCCUACGGGAGGCAGCAGUGGGGAAUUUUGGACAAUGGGGGCAACCCUGAUCCAGCCAUGCCGCGUGAGUGAAGAAGGCCUCGGUU